rnacentral:rRNA from 1 species
GACGAACCGUGCGAACGUUGUUCGGAAUCACUGGGCUUAAAGGGCGCGUAGGCGGGCUGACAAGUCUGGGGUGAAAUCCUGGGGCUCAACCUCAGAAUUGCCUCCGAUACUGGCAGUCUCGAGUGCGGGAGAGGUGAGUGGAAUUCCCAGUGUAGAGGUGAAAUUCGUAGAUAUUGGGAAGAACACCAGUGGCGAAGGCGGCUCACUAGCCCGUAACUGACGCUGAGGUGCGAAAGCGUGGGGAGCAAACAGGG